UACGUAGGGUGCAAGCGUUGUCCGGAAUUAUUGGGCGUAAAGAGCUCGUAGGCGGUCUGUUGCGUCGGCUGUGAAAACCCGGGGCUCAACCCCGGGCCUGCAGCCGAUACGGGCAGACUAGAGUUCGGCAGGGGAGACUGGAAUUCCUGGUGUAGCGGUGAAAUGCGCAGAUAUCAGGAGGAACACCGGUGGCGAAGGCGGGUCUCUGGGCCGUAACUGACGCUGAGGAGCGAAAGCGUGGGGAGCGAACAGG
rnacentral:rRNA from 1 species